rnacentral:rRNA from 1 species
GACAGAGGAUGCAAGCGUUAUCCGGAAUGAUUGGGCGUAAAGCGUCUGUAGGUGGCUUUUUAAGUCCGCCGUCAAAUCCCAGGGCUCAACCCUGGACAGGCGGUGGAAACUACCAAGCUGGAGUACGGUAGGGGCAGAGGGAAUUUCCGGUGGAGCGGUGAAAUGCGUAGAUAUCAGGAGGAACACCGGUGGUGUAAACGGCUUUCUGGACCAUAACUGACACUGAGGCACGAAAGCGUGGGUAGCAAACAGG